rnacentral:rRNA from 1 species
UACGGAGGGUGCAAGCGUUAGCCGGAUUUAUUGGGCUUAAAGGGUGUGUAGGUGGGUAAGUAAGUCAGUGGUGAAAUCUUAGAGCUUAACUCGGAAACUGCCAUUGAUACUAUUUAUCUUGAAUACUUUGGAGGUAAGCGGAAUAUGUCAUGUAGCGGUGAAAUGCUUAGAUAUCACAUAGAACACCGAUUGCGAAGGCAGCUUACUACACAGUUAUUGACACUGAGGAACGAAAGCGUGGGGAUCAAACAGG